UGGAUAAUUAUCUGACUGUGCUCUUCAUUUUCAGCACUGCUAGUGACCCCGGCUGCCUCCGCGGGACCUGGGGAUAAAACAUGGGUUGUGUUGAAUUCAAGCUUUAUUACGACUCAAAAGAAUCAGUUUCCUGCGAUCCCGUCUCGCGUACAUGAUGGCUCCAGAAGUGAUGGCAGCGAGGAGCCAGUCCCCUUCCUCCUGGGGCCCAGACCCACAACAAGCCUGCCGGCGACAACACCACCAAUACAAUGUUUUCGAGUAGAAUGCAUUUCUCAUUUCUAAAUGGGGGUCUGCUGAAAAGCAGGACUCAAUAUACGUCAGUUUAAAGUUUUUGGAAAGCUCCAUGCUCAGUUGGUUCCUGAUCUAAGACAGAUUUGGGCUGUGCUUAGGCUACGGAUGACAGAGCAAGAUAUGGAGAGCUGACCCUUCUGGGAAACGAAUAAAAACAAGGACAAGAAAAAAAAAAAUCAAGAAAGGACCUAGCUUGGUUUUAGUUUGUUUAAAGUCACAAGAUGAAAUAUAUAUAUCCCUAAAACUAAAUUCAAAUGCACAUUACCUCUGGGCUAUUAAAAUGAUCGCUCAUUUCCAUGAAGGAAAUAAGAAAUAAUUAUACUUUAAAAUCACCUAACAAAAGUAGUUCAUUAAAAAGAAAACAUGUGUGAAGCACAUAAAAGAAAGGUGUGAGAAAGGAAGAAGAAUCCAACUUACAAAGUC